rnacentral:rRNA from 1 species
GAUGAACGCUGGCGGCGUGCCUAAUACAUGCAAGUCGAGCGAACGGACGAGAAGCUUGCUUUUCUGAUGUUAGCGGCGGACGGGUGAGUAACACGUGGAUAACCUACCUAUAAGACUGGGAUAACUUCGGGAAACCGGAGCUAAUACCGGAUAAUAUUUUGAACCGCAUGGUUCAAAAGUGAAAGACGGUCUUGCUGUCACUUAUAGAUGGAUCCGCGCUGCAUUAGCUAGUUGGUAAGGUAACGGCUUACCAAGGCAACGAUGCAUAGCCGACCUGAGAGGGUGAUCGGCCACACUGGAACUGAGACACGGUCCAGACUCCUACGGGAGGCAGCAGUAGGGAAUCUUCCGCAAUGGGCGAAAGCCUGACGGAGCAACGCCGCGUGAGUGAUGAAGGUCUUCGGAUCGUAAAACUCUGUUUUUAGGGAAGAACAUAUGUGUAAGUAACUGUGCACAUCUUGACGGUACCUAAUCAGAAAGCCACGGCUAACUACGUG